AUGCCUUCUUAUUAGACAAUCUGGACACUUUUGUAUUCAGUCCCAGACAGGACACAGGACAGUCAAGAUGGCUCCAGUUCAACUUUUAGGGCUUUUGCUGCUCUGCCUCCCAGCCAUGAGAUGUGACAUCCAGAUGACCCAGUCUCCUUCACUCCUGUCUGCAUCUGUGGGAGACAGAGUCACUCUCAACUGCAAAGCAAGUCAGAAUAUUUAUAAGAACUUAGAGUGGUAUCAGCAAAAGCAUGGAGAAGCUCCAAAACUCCUGAUAUAUUAUACAAACAAUUUGCAAACGGGCAUCUCAUCAAGGUUCAGUGGCAGUGGAUCUGGUACAGAUUACACACUCACCAUCAGCAGCCUGCAGCCUGAAGAUGUUGCCACAUAUUACUGCUAUCAGUAUAACAGCGGGCCCCACGAGUUCUUUGCUUUACAGAAGCUUUUCAGUCGAAUGAAUUUUGAAUUAGUGCAAACUUGUCCAACCACGCUGGUAAUCAAUAUGGAUGUUUCCCAUAAAAUUGUGAACAGUUCUACCUGA